GGAAAACUUACCAGGUCCAGACAUAGUAAGGAUUGACAGAUUGAUAGCUCUUUCUUGAUUUUAUGGGUGGUGGUGCAUGGCCGUUCUUAGUUCGUGGAGUGAUUUGUCUGCUUAAUUGCGUUAACGAACGAGACCUUAACCUGCUAAAUAGGAGCGCCUAUCUUCGGAUAAGCGCCUUUCUUCUUAGAGGGACUUUCUGCGUUUCAGUAGGAGGAAGUUUGAGGCUAAAA
rnacentral:rRNA from 1 species